rnacentral:pre_miRNA from 1 species
UUUAAGCGGCAGUUGUAAAUUUCUGUGUUCAACAUUAAUCGGCUAUCUUAUUUAAUUUUUUUUAUGAUUAUGAUUUUUGUUGUUGUUAGAUAAUAAAACAUAGUAGUACUUUAUAUGUAACUUAUUUUUUAAAUUUUUUAUAAAAUUUUUAAAUAAGAUAAAUGAUCAAAUGAAUUAUGAAAAAUCGUGACUGCAUUUAAA